rnacentral:rRNA from 1 species
CCUACGGGUGGCUGCAGUGAGGAAUAUUGGUCAAUGGCCGGGAGGCUGAACCAGCCAAGUCGCGUGAGGGAAGACGGCCCUACGGGUUGUAAACCGCUUUUGUCAGGGAGCAAGGUGCAGGUCGGGACCUGCUGUGAGAGUACCUGAAGAAAAAGCAUCGGCUAACUCCGUGCCAGCAGCCGCGGUAAUACGGAGGAUGCGAGGGUUAUCCGGAUUUAUUUGGUGUAAAGGGUGCGCAGGCGGAGGCACAAGUCAGCGGGAAAAUCGCGGGGCUCAACCCCGCUCCGCCGUGGAAACUGUGUCCCUUGAGUGCGCGAAGGGUAGGCGGAAGGCGUGGUGUAGCGGUGAAAUGCAUAGAUAUCACGCAGAACUCCGAGUGCGAAGGCAGCAUACCGGCGCGCAACCGACGCUCAUGCACGAAAGCGUGGGUAUCGAACAGGAUUAGAUACCCUGGUAGUC